UAUCCUGUUCAGUGUCAUGGAGGAAAACAGCAAAAUUUACUCUGCAAGUUCUGGAAAAACAGACACACGACACUCCGCAAAAUGUGCUACUUUGCAGCCCUGUAAUAUAUAAAGCAAAGUAGGCAGCAAUGAAUGUGUCACUGCUGCACACAAGUAAGAGAAAACUCAAGGUAAUGGGAUGUGGCCAACUGGCGAAGGAAAAAGAAGACAUGACUACAUUCCAAACCACAGUCAGGAAUCCCACUUCUGCAGACCAGGAUGUGACACCACAGCUGAUCUCUUAACACCCCUUUGCUACAGCAGCUCAUAUACUUCUGGACAAGUGUGCAAUUGGCCUUUUACCAUACACAGAUGUUCAACACCACCAGGGAGCUGAAAAUUAUGUCUCUACAGAGUGGAAGAAUUGGUGAAAGAGUCCAACACACAUACAAAUUCAAGAGUCUAUCGCUGUACCUGCUUCCUUGUCCACUUGAGCAUAGAUCCUGGACCAGGCUCAACAGGCUACUCUGUCUUGUCCAGAAUUGCUAUAAGUAUGCACCAGCUUGGCCUGAUUUCCUCCCAGUGCUGUAACUAUGACAGUAUGGCAGACAAUAACUCAUGUGGUGGAACAGUGCUCAACCCGACUUCUGGAGGGUGGUUUACAAUGCCUAGCUUGCAUUGAUACAACCUGUUCUCUGGUUACAGAACCUAGACAUCUGCAUACAAGAGACAGAGAGAAGUCAAAGAAGGAAGCACAUAGCAUCUCAGUUGUAUGCUGAAGAUCACAUGACACACCCAUUCUUUGCCAUCAGCCCACUCCUGUUCACUUGCAUGUAAGAAAGCAAUUAUGCAAGGGGUUUGAGAUGUCUGUGUAGUGAGGAGAAAUGUCAACUGCUUAGCCUUUCCUACACUCACACCAUCUCUGAUCACACUUGUGCAAUAAGUCAACCAUCUUGUGCUAUCUGCUGUCAAAUAAGGAUCUGUCUGAAAGAUAUCUAAGUGCUCAAAACCAUUGUUACAUAGCAGAAGUAAAGUUAUAUUACGGGUUUAACAGCAUACAAAAGUCUCUGCUUAGUUAACCCCAGGGGAGGGAGUGUGGAUGGGGAAUACAUCAGGCAAGGACCCCCGCUCCCAUUUGCAGUCUAAAUUUAAUCUCUGCUUUCAAGGAGGUAGAGUCAUGAGUCCACAUAUGUGGAAGCCUGAAGCUGCUCCUUUGAUACAAACCUGCAGGGUCACUGAAAUGGCCAGUCUGAUUACCAAUAGACCAAACACAAAAAGACAGAACAAGCUGCUUCUGAAGGCUUCCUGCUGGGUCAUAGGUCAGUCCCUGUGGAGGCAGGGAUCCUACAUGAGAUCUAUCAUGUUUGUACUUUCUAUUCUAUAAAGCAGGAAAAAGCACAGGUCAGCAGUAAUCAAACACUCAUUGUUAUCUGCUGGCUCUCUCAUGGCAUACAUGAUUUCAGUCUGGUUCCUAGUGGAUGUGUGCCUAACAAAACACAAUUAAUCAGCACAAUUGGCACUAAUUAACAACCUUGUUGGGAGUCUCAAAAGAGAAGCCAAGCACUGAGCUAUCUUCUUGCCCACAGAGGUGGUCUCGCCACAUAUAGGAAGCAACACUUCAAAAGCGAUAUGGGGGAAGCUUGCUCUGCUACUGCCUAUGCUGUACAUAUUUUAUUGUUUGAAUAAAUAGAGAGCUCUAGACACCAAGGCUGUCAAUCUGUCACCAUUCAUGGAGUACUUAAAAUUUAAAAAUAAAAUAAAAUCAGAAAGCUAUAGCUAUUGACAUUGCACCCAUCAGCAAAGUUGGUAGGGAAAGAAUCUAUGAAUAUACCUUGGGGUUGUGCUUUUGGGUCCAACUUGGUGCAGUUGAAAAAGGAAUAUUUUGGUUGGUGAAAUCUGACCUCUUUAGGCAGGUCAACACACUAUUACAAAGCAGAGUAAACCAUGAAUGAUACCUGACAGUGAAACUUGGUAUUCUAAUCUGCCUUUCUGUGGAGCACUGAUAUGUAGGCCUAGUGAUGUUUGUGUUAGCGAUUUAUUAACACAUGAACAUAAGGUGUUUUUUUUUCAGUAUCUCUCUUACCUCAGAUAUAUAGCUGUGGAAUUUGGGUGAUACCAUGCUGAAAUUUGUUGUGGUCUGCAAAUCCCUUAAAAAACAAACAAACAAACAAACAAACAAACAAACAAACAAACAAACAAAAAACCCACAAUGAAAGAGUCAGUGAGCUGGAUGUCACAAGAGUAGUUGGUGUUUGACAUCCUCAUGUUACCAAUUGCAGAAAGGAGGAGUUUAUUAAAGAAAGUCAAGAUCAAAUUUCUGCGAUGGGCCCAUGACAGAUGCCUCUGCUUACACCAGGGCUGAAUUUGGUCCUCAGAGUUUCUGACAAACCACAUACAUCACAGCCAAAAUGCACCACAAGAGUGUCAAACUUCAUCCAGUGAAAAGGGAUGGAUUAAUGUUUAAUUAUGGUCAGUGGGCAAAGACAUACGUUUCGCACUCCAUACUACCCUCAAACCAUAAUGAGACUCUCACUGAUGUCAAAGGGAGGUUUGCACAAAGAUCAAGGGUAGCAUCUGGCCUUUACUAGUAAUAAUCAUAUUGAUUUAAUUAUAAAUACAGAAAAAGUAGAUGCAUAAUUACUAAUUUGUCUUAGUGUAACAAAGCACAUGCUCCUUCAAAAUAAUGAGUUAUAAUAUUAAAUUACACUUGCCAGGGCACUACUAUUCAUUGUUGCCUAAAGGAAAGAUUCAGAUCAAAUGAACAUGUCUACUAAGGACUGUUGUGCCAGUCAGAGUGACCACAGUUGAUAUAGUAUUGCCAGGAAGUUCCUUCAUUUAGCUCAAUCUUGUAAAUCCACAAACCCUAACUCUGCCUUUAAUGGACAUUUUGGUGACUUUUAAUUGCAGAUCUUUGGAACAACUGCCAGUCUGCUGUGCACAUUUGGGUUAAAUUAAGAGUAGCAUAACUGCAAAUAUUCAGGAAAUAUUGUGUGCCCUUUUUAUUGGUUACAAAAUACCAGAGCAGGCUCAGAAUAAUAGUGUGAGAGGGAAUAGGAAAUGAAAAACCUUUGUUGCUAUAGAAAUGGCACUCAAUUACUCUUACCUUCUUAAAAAUGGCACAUUAGCCCUUUAUUUGCUUUGGCAAGAGAAAACAAACCUCUUUAUUUCUGCAUAUAGCAGGAAUUUAUCCAUGUAUUGCCACUCACACUUAUCUCUGCAGGAAAGCUCAUGAUAUACAAAUGGUGCAGGAAAGCCAAGUUAAACUUUUCAAUCAAUCAUUUUUAUUUAUGCGAUGCAGAAACAUUUACUGUUGCUGUCAAGCAAGCAAAAACUUUAAUAAGGUGAAAAAGCCAUAUUAAUUGAUAAAUUACAGCAUAAGCUAUAAAAUAGCCUACACUUUUUACAAACAUAUCUCCUUCCAUUUUAUGGCUCAGAUGCUUAAAUUGUUAAACACAUUUAGAAAAAAAAUAUGAAAAUACUUUCCAGAACUGACCGAAAUAGAGUAUUAGUGCCAAUUUAUACUCUACACCUUAUGAAGGUGAAAUAUAUAGUACAUAUACUGGAAAAAAAAAAGAAAUCAGUGUCUAUAUUAGUUACUAUAUAGUGGUAUCCAAGAUACCACAGCUAUUUCCUAUUCUAAAUCGAGGGCAGAGUAUUUCAAAUAUAACACUGUGAUAUAACCGUGGACAAAUGUUGAUUUUUUAAAUGGAAUCCAUUAUGAGUGUAUGUAGUCAAGAUAAAAACUUGCAUCAGACAGAGGAUGCUGUGCAAGCACAGUGUUUUGCCUUUUGUUUGAGAGUGGUAGGAGAGAAGGUGGUACAUAAUUAUAUAAUAUUUUAUUCUGAAACAAAAUAGGCCUGACUACAAUUAACCUACCCUGAUACAAGUAACUCCACUGAAGUCAAUUGAACUUUACAGGUGCACAACUGCCCUAGUGUGAUAUCAUAAUGAAGCCUAGGCUACCUUUUUGCUUAGUAUGACCUCCUCUAGUUUAUAGCUAUUGCAAGAAUAUUUCUUCUUGAUUCCAGAGGCUUACCUCACUGCAGGUCUUAUUCUAAUUGCUGAAAGGUGCAACUUAAAUAACUAUUACACAUGAAGUUUUAAUGCAACUGUUUGUCUUUGACUUUUGAUAUCAGUAAUACCAAGGGAUUGUAAUAAAUAGCCCUGGUCAGAAGUUGCCAGGUGAAAUGA